UGAAUUUUAUAAAGCUGAUCGAUAUCUUGGUAAAAUAUUCAUUUUUAAACUAGCGGGCAGCGAAAUCUUUGCUUUGUGCUAAAGUCAACAGUAGCACCGUUUCAGCUCCAAUAAAUGCCGGGAUGCUUCCAGCUCCGGCAGAGCCGGGGCGCGGCGGGCCGGGCCGGCGGCCGGGGCGCAGAGGUGUUGGUGUUAACCAACCACAGAUGCUUCACGCAACAAUGACACGAGACGAGCUGGCCAGCCCAGAACAGUGGGCUGUGAUGUGUGUCCAUACACGUGCACGUAGUUCAGUUAAGCUUCGUUCUCCUCUUCCCUACUAGAAAUUGAAGCCAAUAGCUGAGAAGUGGAAGCAGCCCGUGCCACGGCUGAGCUGGGUCAUUGCUCCUCAUCACCCAGCCCCUUGCACCCAGGGGCAGAUGGCCACAGGUCCUGCCUGGCAGGGAUGCCUCCCACAAGACACCUCCGGCUCCUGGCCUUGUCCCAGCCUCCAGAAAUCUGCCUGCCUGCCUGCCUGCCUGCUGCCUCUGGCAGAGUCUGCUGGCCCAGCCCUGCAAAGGAUUUCAUAUUCCUGUAGCUGUCCUAAUCCCCCGGUGUGACUCAGCAUUGUUAAGAUGCCUGAAAGAGUAAUAAAAAGUGUUAUAAUGCCAUUAA